GAUGAACGCUGACAGAAUGCUUAACACAUGCAAGUCGAUUCGAUUUACCUUCGGGUAUUGAGGAUGGCGGACGGGUGAGUAACGCGUAAGGAACUUGCCUCUUGGACUGGGACAACUGUUGGAAACGACAGCUAAUACCGGAUAUUAUGAGAUUCUCGCAUGGGAAACUUAUGAAAGCUAUAUGCGCCAAGAGAGAGCCUUGCGUUCCAUUAGCUAGUUGGUGGGGUAAUGGCCCACCAAGGCGACGAUGGAUAGCCGGCCUUGAGAGGGUGAACGGCCACAAGGGGACUGAGACACGGCCCUUACUCCUACGGGAGGCAGCAGUGGGGAAUAUUGGACAAUGGGCCACAAGCCUGAUCCAGCAAUUCUGUGUGCACGAUGAAGGUCUUCGGAUCGUAAAGUGCUUUCAGUUGGGAAGAAGAAAGUGACGGUACCAACAGGAGAAGCGACGGCUAAAUACGUGC
rnacentral:rRNA from 1 species